UCCCUGGUGGCUCAGAUGGUAAAGCACCUGCCUGCAAUGUGGGAGACCCGGGUUCGAUCCCUGGGUUGGGAA
rnacentral:tRNA from 1 species